AACGAACGCUGGCGGCAUGCCUAACACAUGCAAGUCGAACGAGACCUUCGGGUCUAGUGGCGCACGGGUGCGUCACGCGUGGGAACCUGCCCUUAGGUUCGGAAUAACUCCCCGACAGGGGUGCUAAUACCGGAUAAUGUCUUCGGACCAAAGAUUUAUCGCCCUUGGAUGGGCCCGCGUUGGAUUAGCUAGUUGGUAGGGUAAAAGCCUACCAAGGCGACGAUCCAUAGCUGGUCUGAGAGGAUGAUCAGCCACACUGGGAAUGAGACCCGGCCCAGAAUCCUACGGGAGGCAGCAGUGGGGAAUAUUGGAAUAUGGGCGAAGGCCUGAUGCAGCAAUGCCGCGUGAGUGAUGAAGGCCUUAGGGUUGUAAAGCUCUUUUACCCGGGAUGAUAAUGACAGUACCGGGAGAAUAAGCACCGGCUAACUCCGUG
rnacentral:rRNA from 1 species